rnacentral:rRNA from 1 species
GAUGAACGCGUGGCGGCGUGCCUAACACAUGCAAGUCGAACGAGGUAGUUUUGAUUGAAGUUUUCGGAUGGAUUUCAAGAUGCCGAGUGGCGGACGGGUGAGUAACGCGUGGGUAACCUGCCUCAUACAGGGGAAUAGCGGUUAGAAAUGACUGCUAAUACCGCAUAAGCGCACAGUACCGCAUGGCACGGUGUGAAAAACUCCGGUGGUAUGAGAUGGACCCGCGUCUGAUUAGCUAGUUGGUGAGGUAACGGCCCACCAAGGCGACGAUCAGUAGCCGGCCUGAGGGGGUGAACGGCCACAUUGGGACUGAGACACGGCCCAG